rnacentral:rRNA from 1 species
CGAAUGCUGACAUAAGUAACGAUAAAGCGGGUGAAAAGCCCGCUCGCCGGAAGACCAAGGGUUCCUGUCCAACGUUAAUCGGGGCAGGGUGAGUCGACCCCUAAGGCGAGGCCGAAAGGCGUAGUCGAUGGGAAACAGGUUAAUAUUCCUGUACUUGGUGUUACUGCGAAGGGGGGACGGAGAAGGCUAUGUUGGCCGGGCGACGGUUGUCCCGGUUUAAGCGUGUAGGCUGGUUUUCCAGGCAAAUCCGGAAAAUCAAGGCUGAGGCGUGAUGACGAGGCACUACGGUGCUGAAGCAACAAAUGCCCUGCUUCCAGGAAAAGCCUCUAAGCAUCAGGUAACAUCAAAUCGUACCCCAAACCGACACAGGUGGUCAGGUAGAGAAUACCAAGGCGCUUGAGAGAACUCGGGUGAAGGAACUAGGCAAAAUGGUGCCGUAACUUCGGGAGAAGGCACGCUGAUAUGUAGGUGAAGCGACUUGCUCGUGGAGCUGAAAUCAGUCGAAGAUACCAGCUGGCUGCAACUGUUUAUUAAAAACACAGCACUGUGCAAACACGAAAGUGGACGUAUACGGUGUGACGCCUGCCCGGUGCCGGAAGGUUAAUUGAUGGGGUUAGCGGUAACGCGAAGCUCUUGAUCGAAGCCCCGGUAAACGGCGGCCGUAACUAUAACGGUCCUAAGGUAGCGAAAUUCCUUGUCGGGUAAGUUCCGACCUGCACGAAUGGCGUAAUGAUGGCCAGGCUGUCUCCACCCGAGACUCAGUGAAAUUGAACUCGCUGUGAAGAUGCAGUGUACCCGCGGCAAGACGGAAAGACCCCGUGAACCUUUACUAUAGCUUGACACUGAACAUUGAGCCUUGAUGUGUAGGAUAGGUGGGAGGCUUUGAAGUGUGGACGCCAGUCUGCAUGGAGCCGACCUUGAAAUACCACCCUUUAAUGUUUGAUGUUCUAACGUUGGCCCGUUAUCCGGGUUGCGGACAGUGUCUGGUGGGUAGUUUGACUGGGGCGGUCUCCUCCUAAAGAGUAACGGAGGAGCACGAAGGUUGGCUAAUCCUGGUCGGACAUCAGGAGGUUAGUGCAAUGGCAUAAGCCAGCUUGACUGCGAGCGUGACGGCGCGAGCAGGUGCGAAAGCAGGUCAUAGUGAUCCGGUGGUUCUGAAUGGAAGGGCCAUCGCUCAACGGAUAAAAGGUACUCCGGGGAUAACAGGCUGAUACCGCCCAAGAGUUCAUAUCGACGGCGGUGUUUGGCACCUCGAUGUCGGCUCAUCACAUCCUGGGGCUGAAGUAGGUCCCAAGGGUAUGGCUGUUCGCCAUUUAAAGUGGUACGCGAGCUGGGUUUAGAACGUCGUGAGACAGUUCGGUCCCUAUCUGCCGUGGGCGCUGGAGAACUGAGGGGGGCUGCUCCUAGUACGAGAGGACCGGAGUGGACGCAUCACUGGUGUUCGGGUUGUCAUGCCAAUGGCACUGCCCGGUAGCUAAAUGCGGAAGAGAUAAGUGCUGAAAGCAUCUAAGCACGAAACUUGCCCCG